AGCAUUAUAUUCUGUAUGAGAACAGUUAUUCCUAACAUUUAGAAACCGGACAGUGGCUGUCUGGAACUUCCGUGGAGAACUUGUAACUUCAUUUGAGGAUCACCUUCUGUGGCAUCCUGACUGCAAUACUAAUAAUAUAUAUCACAAGUGAUCAGGUUAUCAUCUCUUACUGCAAAGCUGAUUCUGAUGAUCCAUUGUCUGAAGGAAAUGGGUCCAUCAAUAUCAGCAACAUAUCGACUGGGAAGUGCCUUGCUAAAAUAAGAGCAAGUAAUAGUUCCCCAGUGGAAAAGCAAUGUAGCUGUUGCAAUGUUAGUUAUGGUAGCAGGUCGAACAUGAACGGCCGUUCAUCCAAGAUUAGAAGCACGGUGGCAGAAGCUUGGAAGAUAUCACCGCUCUUUUAUGACGAAGAGCACAUGAGAUUUACACAGGGAACAUGUAUGGUCUAGUUCAUGUGUGGUCCAACUGAUGGGUUUGAUUUUGAUUAGUAAAUUUAUAUUUUGACUUUGGUGGAAAGUGGAGAAGAG